CUUCAGAUAUAAACGAAUGCCUGCAAAAUCCUUGCGGUGCAAAUGCAAGGUGCGAUAACAACCUGGGAUCCUACACUUGCUCCUGCUUACAAGGCUAUCAAGGCAACGCCAACACUGGUUGCGUAGAUAUAAACGAAUGCCAGCAAAGUCCUUGCGGUGCAAAUGCAAGGUGCGAUAACAACCUGGGAUCCUACACUUGCUCCUGCUUACAAGGCUAUCAAGGCAACGCCAACACUGGUUGCGUAGGUAU